AUAUAUAUUUAUGAGAAAAAGCUAUGCAUAGACUCUUGGGGAUGCACAUCAAGGGAUAGUCUAAGGUUUUCAAACUUGUCGGGUUGGCUGGAUAACCGACAGAUGAGCCUCAUCAGCCAUAGGACAUGCAUGCAUCAUAUGUAUAUUACUUGAAUUAUUUGCUUGUGCAUUAAUUGGGUGUGCCUAAGUG